AGCAUUGCUCGUAGAACCAACCACGGGGGCUGGUGUGACAGUAACAGUAGCAGUAGCAUUCACAUUUGGAGUUUGGUCUCCCAUUUCUGUCGUAGGAAAUAACAGAAACUUUAAUAAUCGGUGAAGAUUUUAUUUCUUCAAACCGAAUCAAAUUUACACAAACAGAAUUAAAACAAACUUCAAAUAGAAUGUAAUAAACUGUAUGUANNN
rnacentral:lncRNA from 1 species